UACGUAGGGUCCAAGCGUUAUCCGGAAUCACUGGGCGUAAAGCGUGCGUAGGUGGCGUGUUAAGUGUGAUGUUAAAUCGUGGGGCUCAACCCUGUCGGUGCAUCACAUACUGGCAUGCUAGAGGACAGCAGAGGCAAGUGGAAUUUGUAGUGUAGCAGUGAAAUGCGUAGAUAUUACAAGGAAACACCAAUGGCGAAGGCAGCUUGCCUGGGCUAACUCCUGACACUGAGGUACGAAAGCGUGGGGAGCGAACAGG
rnacentral:rRNA from 1 species